GACGAACGCUGGCGGCGUGCUUAACACAUGCAAGUCGAACGGAAAGGCCCUGCUUUUGUGGGGUGCUCGAGUGGCGAACGGGUGAGUAACACGUGAGUAACCUGCCCUUGACUUUGGGAUAACUUCAGGAAACUGGGGCUCAUACCGGAUAGGAGCUCCUGCUGCAUGGUGGGGGUUGGAAAGUUUCGGCGGUUGGGGAUGGACUCGCGGCUUAUCAGCUUGUUGGUGGGGUAGUGGCUUACCAAGGCUUUGACGGGUAGCCGGCCUGAGAGGGUGACCGGCCACAUGGGGACUGAGAUACGGCCCAGACUCCUACGGGAGGCAGCAGUGGGGAAUAUUGCACAAUGGGCGGAAGCCGGAUGCAGCAACGCCGCGUGCGGGAUGACGGCCUUCGGGUUGUAAACCGCUUGCGCCUGUGACGAAGCGUGAGUGACGGUAAUGGGUAAAGAAGCACCGGGUAACUACGUG
rnacentral:rRNA from 1 species